UACGUAGGGACCGAGCGUUGUCCGGAUUCAUUGGGCGUAAAGAGCUCGUAGGCGGCUGCUCAAGUCGAAUGUGAAAACUCGAGGCUCAACCUCGAGCCUGCAUUCGAUACUGGGCGGCUAGAGUCUGGUAGGGGGAUCUGGAAUUCCUGGUGUAGCGGUGAAAUGCGUAGAUAUCAAGAGGAACACCUGAGGUGAAGACGGGUUGCUGGGCUGACACUGACGCUGAGGCGCGAAAGCUAGGGUAGCAAACGGG
rnacentral:rRNA from 1 species